GGUUUGAUGCCACGUCGUUGAUAGCUAAAUAGCAGUGACCGAUGGUGCUGUGAUUAAACCAAAAACAAAAAUUUCACUACUUGAUAGGAAUCUGUUCAUCUUAUUCCAUGGGUUUACAGAGCCAUUUUGUGUGAUGAUAGUG